AGGACUGAAUGCACAGCAGGCUGUCAGGAAGUAGUCAUGGAUUGAUGUGUCCGUAUUCGCCAUAACCAAGCAGGAGAUAGAUGAUUUCGUUCUGGUCUCUGGAUUUUGGCUGCAUUUUCUCUCAUAGUAGGAAUUAUUCCCGGAAGAUCCAAAUGCUCAGCUUUGUCCUCCUCUCAUCCUGGUGAGGCGUGUGAUCCAGAAUCCUGUUACACCUGGGAUUUAGGCACUUUCAAUCUGAAAAAAUACAUAUCCUUUCAGCACUCUGGACGGACUUGAGAACUGUCCUUACGUGACCUAAAGCUGGAGUAUUUUGAGAUUGGAGAAUUAAGAGCCAGUCUUGGUGCUCUGUGUUCACCUGGUUCAUCUGAGGAGCUGCAUCUACCCUGCCCAUGCCAUAGAUCCUGCCCUGUUUGCUUCUCCUGUUGCUGCUAGUGGACAUGAGAAGGACAGAAUAACGGGCUCCCAGAUUCACAAGCCCCACCAAGAGGAUCACCCCAGGAACGCUUGGAGGCUGAGGAGUUCACUGAGGCUACUGCAUCUUGAGACUCAGGAUGAAGACCCAGCUUGGGGCUGUCAAAGGUUUUUUGCAUGUCUGACACCCAUGACUCCACCUGGACCUUAUGGCUCCACCCAGAAGCAAUUCAGCCCAACAGGAGGACAGCUUCAACCCAUUACGAUUUCAUCUCUGCCCCAACCACUCAGCAGCAAGCACCUGUUACCUGUCCACCCCCACCCCUUCCCCCAAACUGCCUUUGAAAAAUCCCUAACCUAUGAGCUUUGAAUAAGAUGAGUACGAACUUCAUCGCCCACGUGGCGUGGCCGGCCUCGUGUCUAUUAAAUUCUUUUUCUACU
rnacentral:lncRNA from 1 species